GAACUCUUCCUUUAUGUGAGAGUGUUUUCAUGGAGCGACCAUCCCCAUCAUGUACAAUUAGUUUGAAUACUUUUGAUUAUGCACUAAAACAUUCUCAAUGUUCAAUUUAAAUAUUUGGAAAAAAAAAAAAACUAAGCGCACACGAAGGAAAAAUACCAUGUAAAUCUACUAACAUCAUUAAUGAAAUGCUCCAAGCUUUCCCAACAAAGCAUCUACUAACAUCAUUCAUUAUAUCCAACAGUAAAACAGAGUUCGUCACUAGAUAUAGAAAGUACAAAUUUCAAAGGUUUAUUGGGUACAAAUAUAACAUAAAAAGGAACUAGAGUCCACAGAUUUAAUGGAGACAGGAAAUUAAAAGCGAGGAAGCACAUGAUGAACCGUACACAUUGUUGGAUGACAAGAAUUUGAUGAUAAAUGCAGGAAAUUUGGGGUUGCCUCUAGAUGAUAGAAAUCGCCUUUCUUCGAGUCAUGCAACAGUAAUCUCCCGUACCGAUGUUCCUUAACAAAGAAAAUAGUUGGAUGAAACUCAAAGUAAAGCAAAUACCAAUUAGCUAGAUAGGGUGACCUGGAUGCCAAAUGCAUCUGUGUGCAUGUGAUGGUUUCUAUACACUUAGCCACCUCGAUCGUUUCUCAAAUUUGAACACUCUAGAGAUAGGCAUGUGAGCCAUUGCUAUGCUUUUCUAAAUCAUUUAUUUUUUAUUUUUCUUUUUGUUAUGGUCAGGAAUGCAGUGGAACCAUCAGAUGGAUCACUCAUCUGUACCAUACAUAAAGUGGGGAGGUCCUUGUGGGCAUACCACUACCAAAGGAAAGUAGAGCCAUUAGAACCAGAAUGUGGUAGCACCAUCCCUCUACUGUAUUUUCAUUGGUCAUGAUCAUGUGUCAACCGAGACCAUCAAUUGAGAUUGUCCAUCUAGUAGGGACCCAUCUCAGAUCAUGUUCCAAAAGAAACAUUUAUUUUGUUCAUUUUACACACACACACACACACACACACACACACACACAGCAUGAUAGAAGUCACAUGAAUCAAUGAGAGUUGCAAUCAAUCAAACAAGUUCCAACCGCCCCCUGCAUUGACCAAUCAAUAGAAGUUAAGCCAAGCAGCCACAUCCAAUAUCAAAUUAUUUGCCUUGUUUGUUUGAACGAAUAGGAGAUCUGGUUUGAGAAUGUUAUGAAAAUGUAGCCAAUUGAGAUUACAAUCAUAUGUUUUUCUAGCCUAAGAAAAGAAAAUGAAGUUCCGCCUCCCUCUUGAGGGCAAUUAUUCUUUGAUCCUGUAUUUUUUCAUCUGCAUCCUUAACACACAUCAAACUAAAGUACAUGAACGUUUAUGACAUAGUUCAAUCAUGUUCAUGCAUGAUGCAAUAACAAUUCACUUGCUACCUUGCAAUUGCUUUCCAUUGAAUCUAGGUCUAAGGAAUUCUUAUAUCAUGCAUGAUUGUCACAUGAACCUCUAUGAGACAGGUGGAAACAUGACGAGAUUCAGACAGCUUUUCCAGCAGCCUCAAUGUGGAUGCUCAUAGUCAAACGGAUUGAUCAAAGAGAUUAAUUUCAGAGUGGGAUGUUAAAAGAAAAGUAGAUGGAAGGUUUGAAUGCAGUUGGAAUCACCCUGCCAUUGACCCUACUUGUACAAAUUGAGAAACUGAGGCUAUCAUGUACUAUUCUUUCCAAGGAUCAUAUACAAUCUAGAUCAUCAGAUAACGUGCUUGGUGGUAACACAUGAGAUAGGCGUCCCAAAUCACGUUAUUAUCUAUAGUAUGAUCAAAUGGGAGGAUC